CCUACGGGAGGCAGCAGUGGGGAAUAUUGCACAAUGGGGGAAACCCUGAUGCAGCGACGCCGCGUGAGUGAUGAAGUACUUCGGUAUGUAAAGCUCUAUCAGCAGGGAAGAAAAUUACGGUACGUGAUUAAUUACCCCCGGCGACCUCCGUGCCAGCAGCCGCUGUAAUACGUAGGGGGCAAGCGUUCUCCGGAUAUGCUGGGUGUAACGGGGGCGUAGAUGGGUGUGCAAGUCUGGAGUGAAAUGCCGGGGCUUAACCCCGGGACUGCUGUGGAAACUGUGCAGCUAGAGUGCAGGAGAGGUAAGUGGAAUUCCUAGUGUAGCGGUGAAAUGCGUAGAUAUUAGGAAGAACACCAAAGGCGAAGGCAGCUUACUGGGGUGUAACUGACGUUGAGGCUCGAAAGCGUGGGGAGCAAACAGGAUUAGAUACCCCGGUAGUC
rnacentral:rRNA from 1 species